rnacentral:rRNA from 1 species
AAUAUUGCACAAUGGGGGAAACCCUUAUGCAGCGACGCCGCGUGAUUGAAGAAGUAUUUCGGUAUGUUAAGCUCUAUCAUCAGGGACGAAAAUGACGGUACCUGACUAUGAAGCCUCGGCUAACUACGUGCCAGCACCCGCGGUAAUACGUAGUGGGCAAGCGUUAUCCGGAUUUACUGGGUGUAAAGGGAGCGUAGGUGGCGAGUCAAGUCAGAUGUGAAAGCCCGGGGCUCAACCCCGGGAUUGCAAUUGAAACUGGUUUGCUAGAGUGCAGGAGAGGUAAGUGGAAUUCCUAGAGGAGCGGAGAAAUGCGUAGAUAUUAGGAGGAACACCAGUGGCGAAGGCGGCUUACUGGACUGUAACUGACACUGAGGCUCGAAAGCGAGGGGAGCAAACA